rnacentral:lncRNA from 10 species
AGUCUCUCUAUUAGGCUGAUCACCACUAAAGUGUAAGCUCUUCAGGGCAGGGAGUUCGUCCAGUGCUGAAUCCUCAGAGUCCUGUGAUGAAUGAACCAAUGAAUGAAUGAAUGAAUGAAUGAAUGAAUGAAUGAGUGAAUGAAUGAAUGGAUGAGUGAGUGAAUGAAUGAAUGAGUGAAUGAAUGAAUGGGAGAAACCUAGGACUUUCCAUGUACAGAUUUUAGAGUUGGUGAUUAUUAAUUCUACUUCUAGCCUCCUUUAUUUUACUUUAUUUGCUUAACUUAACCCUAUUGAGACUCAACUUCUACAGCUAAAAGUGCAGUAAAAUAACAAUACCCUUUUUCACUUGACUGUCAAGAGGGAAAAAGUAAUUGCAAAGGCAUCUCUGAAUAAAAGACACUAGAUAUUCCAUACAUAACACGAGUUGAGAAAAAGUUCGUGGGUUCAAAUACAUAGGAUCUUGUGGCCUGUGUCACCAAAGCAAGAGGUCUUUUACACAUUUCCUUGCACAGGCAAGAAAUCAAUGUUUGAUUGCAGGGACUCAAAUUAAUCAUUAUAAUAGCCACCAAUAAAUGUCUGCUGACAGUAGGGUGACUAUGGUUGACAAUAUUGUGUUGUAUAUUUCAAAAUAACUAGAAGAGAGGAUUUUGAAUGUUCUUACCAGAAAGAAAUGAUAACUGAGGUGAUGGAUAUGCUGAAUACUCGGAUUUGAUUAUUACACAAUGUAUACAUGUAUCAAAACCACCUCAUACAUACAUACAAUUAUUAUAUGUCAAUUUAAAAGAUUUUUUAAAAUCUGCUGAAUUAUGAAACUCGUGAGAAUCCACCCAUUUUCAAUAGGGAUAAACUGAGAAUGGCAGUUAAUCAUAGGGAGUUUCCCUACUGAUUCAAUUACGCUCUACAGAGGCUGCCAGUGUCUAUUUUCACAACUCUCAGUCUUAUGCAAACUGUUUUAAUGUCCUUGUAGAAGGAGGUGGUGUAUCGUAUGGGAAAGAAGGAGAGACCAGACUGCAAGCUCGCCUUGGAACAACUUUUCUGCCACCAACUCAUUUUUGGCCAAAAGGUGACAAAAUCUGGAAAAAGAAACUAGAUGAAGUCCCAAGUUCCUG